UUGACCAAAUAGACGAUUUUUAGGGGUGCUGUAAACACCCUAUUUUAUGUCGUCUCU
rnacentral:tRNA from 1 species